rnacentral:tRNA from 1 species
AAGAUAAUGACUCAGUGGUUAGAGCUUAGGACUCGUAACUGAAAGGUCGCGGGAUCGAAUCCCGCUAGACUAG